AUUAUAUUAACUUCGAAGAAUCUUGUUUAUGUAUUAUAUUUUAAUCCUUUGUGAUUUUAUGAAUUUAACACAAUUGCUCUUGAGAAGACGUCAUAUAAACGCACAGCAUAACAAAUUUUCAUUCAACAAAAACAAAUCUGUGUGGUUAGUUUUAAUAUUGGAGUAAAUUGACCCACUAUAAAACUUAAUGAUUAAUGUCGUGCCCAGUGUUUAUUUUAGGGGGUAACUGGGAGGUAGGUAUUGCCCACCAACAGAAAAAUAUUUACCACCCCCUGAAAAUAUAUAGCAUUACUACGUAAACUACAUGUGAAAGAAGUUAUAG